UCUCUUUCUCUCUCUUUUCUCAGAUGCCCUCUCUCUCCCUCGUUUCUCUCUUUUUCUCUCAAGUCAGCUGUUUUCUCGAGCUCUGAUGACCAUGUUGCCGACCUCCAAAUUCUACACACGCCUGAUUAGAAGAUUUAGAAGCCACCAAACUAUCAGCCUCGCGAGCCACCAGACCUCACUCGCUGAUUAAGCCUCCCAAACAAUCGCUCGAAGUUCUGACGUCAAUUAUGGUUUUAUCUUCGAUCCGGCCACCUUGAGCCUCUGUUGGCCAAGCGACCACCACCAUCAUGUUCUCUACAUCGCAGGCUUCAAAACCCACAAAAAUAUCAUACUUAAUGGUCAUCGGAGUUUGAAGUCGACGUUCUCCAGAAUCCGCAGAGAUUUAUGAACUUUCAAGCUUAGAUCCGAGCUUUUCUAAGCCAUUCCAAUCUAAACCACCACCACCACCACAACAUUCCCAUGGCUUGGGCUUCAAAACAAAGUAGUUAGUUUCCCGAACCCCCACUAUUGAGUGGUGGCACCAGCGUCGUCGCCGGAGCUCUGCCAUGAGUCACGGUCGGCGACCACCUCAGGGGCUUCAAAGCCUACUUUCGAGCUCCACAGAGUAGCGUUCAACUCAUGUCGAAUCCCAAACAUGGUGGAAAAUAGCUUUGGUGGCGGGAAAGGUUCUUGGAAGCUUGGGGAUGUGUAUUGAGGCGGAAUGGAAUCAAAGGACCGAGAGUUCGAUUCGAGGAUGAAGUCUCUUUAAUUAUGGUUUCCUAUGUAUUUUUCUGCAAUUGGUUGUAAUAAGUUUUAAUUAAGUUUUCAUUAUGUCAAAGUUAUGUUUUGUUUCUAACAAUGGGAUCCCAAUGUCAUACUUAUGAAUUUUAUAUAGUUUUAAGCCUCUACCCUA